rnacentral:misc_RNA from 1 species
GCUCAAUCAAACUCAAUAUGAAUGUAAAUUUUAAAACAUAAUAAUAAUUAAAAAGCUUAUGGGUCUUAGCACCAUGGUUUGCCCAUGACGUGACCCGAUCAGUUCUUUUUUAGGUUUUAACAGAUUUAAUUUAAAAUGAAUAUUGGGAAUGAACCAAAUUAAGAAGGAUAACAGAGUUUAACCAAAGUGAAAUAAAAUGUAAGAAAUAGCAUGGGAUAAAAAGAAGCCUAUAAGCGACCUGAUGCUAAUACAAAAGGUGCUAUUAUUUUCUUCAUUAAAUUAUCCAAGUAUGGACGAGACUAAUCAAAUCGUACCCCAUGACCGCUAGUGGUGCUGAUGCGGUGGGUGAUGGUGUGGACCAUGAGAUCCCGGUGGAGGUGGAUGGGGCCGAGCGGGUGGAGGAGGAUGAUCAUGAUGAUGAGGAGGAGGCGGCGG